UACGAAGGGGGCUAGCGUUGUUCGGAAUUACUGGGCGUAAAGCGUGCGCAGGCGGCUUCUCAAGUCAGGGGUGAAAGCCCAGAGCUCAACUCUGGAAUUGCCUUUGAGACUGAGUGGCUUGAGUACGAGAGAGGUGAGUGGAAUUCCGAGUGUAGAGGUGAAAUUCGUAGAUAUUCGGAAGAACACCAGUGGCGAAGGCGACUCACUGGACACGUAUUGACGCUGAGGUGGCGAAAGCGUGGGAGCAAACAGG
rnacentral:rRNA from 1 species